rnacentral:rRNA from 1 species
UACGUAGGGUGCGAGCGUUAAUCGGAAUUACUGGGCGUAAAGCGUGCGUAGGCGGUUCGCUGUGUCCGAUGUGAAAGCCCCGGGCUUAACCUGGGAAUGGCAUUGGAAACUGGCGGGCUUGAGUGUGGCAGAGGGGGGUGGAAUUCCGGCGUGUAGCAGUGAAAUGCGUAGAGAUGCGGAGGAACACCGAUGGCGAAGGCAGCCCCCUGGGCCGACAUUGACGCUCAGGCACGAAAGCGUGGGGAGCAAACAGG